AUGAUGGAGAAGAUGAAGACAGUGCGGGACACCAGCCAGGCCGCCUACGAUGCCAGCUCGGCUCUCCAAAGCAACGUUCAGAAAUCUUGUGAUCUUGGAACUCGCUUUGCUGACUUGGAGAAACAACAGAUUCAACUGAACCUUGACUUGGAGCUGGCCAAGACAGAGCUGCAAAAGGUCAAGGACGGCGCCACUGCUCUGGCGAAGAAGGAUCAAGAUUUGGCUGCUGCUCGAAAGGAGGCUAACGACAGGACCGCUCUGGCUGAACAGAAACUGGCUUCGGUUGGCCAGUUGGAAGAAGAGAAUACCAAGCUGAAAUCUGCUCUGAACGAAGCCAACAAGGAGUGCUCGCGCUGGAAGAAGGAGAACCUCAACCUGUGCGAGAAGAUGGAAGGCAUCGCUCGCAGGAGGGACGAUCUGGAGAGCUAUCUGAGGAUCCUUGCCAAGAAGUUGUUCAUCAAGCUUGAAGAAUUUUGCCAGGACUUCAAGGAGGAGACUGGGCGGAUCGAACCAGGUUUGGAUCCAAUCAAUUCUCCCGUGAAAGAUGAAACUGCCAUGAAUCUACUCCGACUGGAAUCCCGCAUCGACGGUGUCGUGGACUACUUGGCUCGACUGAAGGUUGCCAUGUCAUGGAUCGACCCGGCACUUCGGCCAGAGGCCACGCUCCAAGAUGAUCUUGAGUCCCUGAUGACUCGACUUAACGAAAUCCCUGACCGAGUGUAG
rnacentral:rRNA from 1 species